CCUACGGAGGCAGCAGUGGGGAAUAUUGCACAAUGGGGGAAACCCUGAUGCAGCGACGCCGCGUGAGUGAAGAAGUAUUUCGGUAUGUAAAGCUCUGUCAGCAGGGAAGAAAAUGACGGUACCUGACCAAGAAGCGCCGGCUAACUACGUGCAAGCAGCCGCGGUAAGACGUAGGGGGCAAGCGUGAUCCGGAUUUACUGGGUGUAAAGGGAGCGUAGACGGCAGGGCAAGUCUGGAGUGAAAGGCGGGGGCGCAACCCCCGGACGGUUCUGGAAACUGCCAGGCUGGAGUGCAGGAGAGGUAAGUGGAAUUCCUAGUGUAGCGGUGAAAUGCGUAGAUAUUAGGAGGAACACCAGUGGCGAAGGCGGCUUACUGGACUGUAACUGACGUUGAGGCUCGAAAGCGUGGGGAGCAAACAGGAUUAGAUACCCGAGUAGUC
rnacentral:rRNA from 1 species